GGUUCGAUUAUGGCUCAGAUUGAACGCUGGCGGGAUCGCACAUGCAAGUCCGGAGACAGCGCUGCGGACUUCGGUCUGGUGGCGAGUGAACGGGUGAGUAAUGUAUCAGGUUGUUGCCCUGAUAGCGGGGAUAACUACGCGAAAGCGCUAAUACCGCAUACGCCCUUCGGGAAAGCGGGGACCUUCGGGCCUCGCACUAUUAGAGCGGCCGAUAUCGGAUUAGCUGGUUGGUGGGGUAACGGCUCACCAAGGCGACGAUCCGUAGCUGGUUUGAGGACGACCAGCCCGCUGCGGGGACUGAGACACGGCUGAGCUCCUGCAGGAGGCAGCGGUGGGGAAUUUUGGACCAAUGGGGAAACCUGAUCCAGCCAUCCGCGUGUGCGAUGAAGGCCUUCGGGUUUGUAGCACUUUUAGCGGGAAAGAAACGGCACGGGAUAAUACCCGUGCAACUGACGGUACUGCAGAAUAAGCACCGGCUAACGUGCCAGCAGCCGCGGUAAUACGUAGGGUACAGCGUUAAUCGGAAUUACUGGGCGUAAAGCGUGCGCGAACGGUUCGGAAAGAAAGAUCGCGAAAUCGAGCUUAACUGGAACUGCAUUUUAACUACCGAGCUGAGUGUGUCAGAAGAGGAAGGUGGAAUUUAACGAUAGCAGUGAAAUGCGUGAAUAUGCCGAGAAAUUUUCGAUGGCGAAGGCAGCCUCCUGGGAUAACACUGGCGCUCAUGCACGAAAGCGUGGGAGCAAACAGGAUUAGAUACCCUGGUAGUCCCGCCCUAAAGCAGUGUCAACUGGCUGUUGGGGCCUUCGGGCCUUGGUAGCGCAGCUAACGUGAUUGACCGCCUGGGAAAUGCGGUCGCCGAUUAAAACUCAAAGGAAUUGACGGGGACCCGCCCUGAGGCGGUGGAUGAUGUCUGGAUUAAUUCGAUGCAGCACCGAAAAACCUUACCUACCCUUGUCUGGAAUCGAAGAGAUUUGGGAGGUCUCGCAAGAGAACCGGAACACAGGUGCUGCAUGGCUGUCGUGGCUCGUGUCGUGAGAUGUUGAGUUCGUCCCGCAACGAGCGCAGCCCUUGUCAUUAGUUGCUGCGAAGGGCACUCUAAUGAGACUGCAGUGACAUUGACCGGAGGAAGGUGGGGAUGACGUCAAGUCCUCAUGGCCUGUGGUGAGGGCUUCAUCAUCUGGUCGGGACAGGGUCGCAACCAACCCGCGAGGGGGAGCCAAUCCCAGAAACCCGAUCGUAGUCCGGAUCGCAGUCUGCAACUCGGCUGCGUGAAGUCGGAAUCGCUAGUAAUCUGCGGAUCAGCAUGUCACGGUGAAUACCAUUCCGGGUCUUGUACACACCGCCCGUCACACCAUGCGGAAGUCGGUUUUGCAAGUAGUUAGCCUAACC
rnacentral:rRNA from 1 species